UCAAACAAAGGGAUAUGCCUGCGUACUAAAGAGCAACGUUUCACCAAUACAGCUCAAUCACUUGGUUGAGCUUGUCUAGUUUUUAAAUAGAUUUAAGAUUUUAUAACUUGUUGUUAGGCUUAAAAAUAAGCAGAUUCAAUAAAUAAGGAUAUAUUGAAAAAAAACCAACUAAUUCACAAAUUCAUUUUAAAUACCAUUACAAAAAAUUGGAAACACUCGAUUCAACUGAGCAAUAAUUUAUUCAUGGGGCAAGAUUAAAACUUCAAAUUUUUUCGAAUUUCAUACAUUUUAAUCACAUAAUUACAUCAAAAUAUUUAUUAAAACCGAAAAAUAGAAAUAAAAUGUGAAGUUAUUUCGGCUCUUAUUCUAUUGGACAAUGAAAGUAGCGCAAAUGAGAAAAGAACGAGAAGCAGCAUAACCGAUGUACGAAAUCUCAGAGGUCCAAACUGUGACAGCAAUCACUUCUUAGUAAGAACGAAACUGCGACAAAGACUGUCCAAUAAUAAGAAGAAGAACAUGAUAAAAAAUAAUCUAUGAAAAUAUCUCAACGGCUGAAAGUACAAAAGACGUAGAUCAUGAAUGGACAAUUUUAAAACACAAUUACAACAGCUGAAUUAAAUACAGUCGGUUGAGUAGUAAGAAGCAAAAACUCCGACUGGUACGACAAAGACUGUAGAAACCAUCUGUAACAGAUAAAAAACAAACAAGAAGAAAAUGGAUCGGAAAUAAAACCAGAGGAGCUGAAAACAUUUGUAUUGAAGAAAGAAGAUUUGCCUCAAAAAUCUGUCAGAAAACGAAGCGUGAAUUAAUGCAUCGAAAAAUAGAAGGUAUAUCUGAGAACUAUGUAUCGAGUAGGGAUGCAAACAUCGUGAAAUGAAACAUCGAUGGUUCGAUGUAUCCAUGUUUCUUCAAAACCCAUCGAAAUCAAAAACAUCGGCCAUUAAAACAUCGAUACAUCGAAACGUCGAUGUAUUUUUGAACUUUUUUAACUUAUUUUAAAUUUAGUGUGAAAAGAUAAGGGAUACAGAAGCAGAAGCAUAAAUAAAUGAAAUGUAUGUAGUACGCUUUAAGGUGAUACAUUUUAUUUCACUUAGCAUUAUAUGUCUGUUAAAGUUUUUUCUCAAUAAAUAAUAGUAAUAACAAUUUCAAAACAA